GGAGGCGGGCAGGCGCCUGGUGGCCCUCACGGUCUUCAACACCGAUGUGGCCGGGCAACCCGGCCAGGCGGGUUCGAUUCCCGUACGCCUCC
rnacentral:tRNA from 1 species